UCACCCGAACGCCGCUCUCUCAUAGGCUGGAGCUCUACCUGCAGCCCCACCCCGCGCCUUGGCCCCGCCGCCGCGCCCAGUUUGAAGCUUCCUCGCGGCAGCGUGGGCAAGUGUUGCUUGGAGCUGACCGCUGAGGCUCCAAGCGUUUCCUACCUCAGCGCGAGGUUCUGGGGAGGUGUCACAGAUGUGUCUCAGAGGUGGCAGAACUUGAUUUGGACCUUGAAGGUGAAGAAUUUGGAUGAGGCAAUUGGGACAUUCCAGGUCAUGUAGAAAUUUGAAACUUGUAGUCACAGAAAAUAUAUAUAAGGGACUUAUCUUUCCUGAAGAUUUUUAGGUAAGAUGUUUAUUUUUCAAAUAGAAUCAUAACUUUUACUGCAGGAAAUCAAAGCAGUGGUAUAUUAAGACAUUUUUUUUCUUUAAAGAUUUUAUUUAUUUUUUUG